UGAUUGUUUUUAGUAACGUCGCUCUGCACUCAACUACACCUGAGUCUGAAACAGGAAGUUGCAGGACGCUAUCCGGCAAGAAGUCACACUCAGGCGUUGUUUGGUACAGUUGCUUUCACACCUGACGCCAACUGGACCCAAGCACACAUGAACAGAACUCAAGACCACCUCUUCAUGCAGACCCAGGCACAGUUCACGAACUGGACCCAGGUACGGUUCACUUGUGUCCACACUGAUCAAAGGAGCUGGACUUUGGGGUCAGUGGCAUUAUUACCAGCAUUUCUGGCCGAACAGAUUCAAACUGAGCCGGUCCUAUUGUGCUGAGUUGAGCCGUCCUGAUGGACCUGUUCUGGUGGAGGGCAAAGUUUGUCCAGCCCGCCUCCAAGUGGAUCGCAAUGAUGUCACGUGAACUGCAGCAAAUCAGUGACUAACCCUGUGUCUGCCCAGUGAGAGCACCCUUAGUUUUUGUUGUUCUUCCUGUUUUACCAACGUGACCUGAACGCAUCUUAAGGAUCCGUUCAGUACCACCAACCAGAACAUAAAGGUCUCAAACCCAGAAUACUACUGAAUGAGAUGAAUGUCUUCAGCAGAUGCUCACAGGGAGUCUGUGAUCAUGUGUCCCUUCAGUUCUGAGUGUGUUUCUGCUGUGAACACACCGACAUGAAGCUCCCUGACAGUCUGUUAGAUAACAUGUUAUCUAAGUUUGUCCUGCGGCUGUUUCCUCCACUCAUCUGAUCCUGAAUCAUGUUAUCAUUCGACCGUGUUGCUUCUAUCCCACCACAGUUCACAAAGAAGCGCAGAGAUCAAAAACGAUCCAAUGAAAAGAUCGAUGAGUGGCACAGUGAGGUCAUCGCUCCGGGGUCGGAGCUGCACAUGCUCAGUGAGCUCUACGUCAGACACUGACCUUCACUCAGACCAGAGCCGGCUGCAGACAGGAAGUGACUCUGCUGUUUGUCUGUUUGUUUGAGGCAAGGGACAGAGUUAAUUUAAAGGCUACUGCACCAGAACAGAACCAGGAGGUCCAACAGCAGACGGUUUCAACAUGGAUGAAGCUUCUACAGCCGACAUCUUUCAACACAGCAGCGAACCGUCACGACAUCACAGAGACCGUGUCGGACCGACUGACCCGUGACUGGAAGUGACAGUUUGAGGAAGGCGUGUGUGUUGGGACUAUUUCCAGCAGCGGAUGAAUCCACAUUUGGAGCUGCGGAGAGUCUCUGGGGCAGCACAUCCAUUCGGACUCCGAGCUAUCAGCACCAGCACCUUCAUAUGCAUCUAGAUUAAACACAAACCAAUCAGACACAUAAUGAACCAGUGAGACCAGCUCACAUCAGGACAUAAACUAGACUGGGACCCAAAACCAAACCAGGACCCAAAACCAGCUCAGACUGGGACCCAAAACCAAACCAGGACCCAAAACCAGCUCAGACUGGGACCCAAAACCAGCUCAGACCAAGAGACACUGCAGGAGACAUUCAAGGCCAAAAACCAUCAGAUGCAACACAUCCUGACGCCCGACUGGAGAAAAAGCAGCUCUGGUGUUUGAAUGAUGAAUAAAAUCUCUGUCAUGUUUUUAUCUCCAGGA